rnacentral:ncRNA from 1 species
AUGCCGGAGUUCAAUAAAAGCUACCCGCUGAAUUUAAGCAUAUAAAUAAGCGGAGGAAAAGAAACUAACAAGGAUUCUCUUAUUAGCGGCGAGCGAAAAGAGAUAAGUGCGAAAUGUGAAUUCGACUAGUCGAAGUUGUGCAUUUGAACGGAUGUUAAGCUAAAUGAAACUGAAUAACAGUUUUGAAUGACUGGCCUUAGAAGGUGAAAGCCCUGUGUGCAGUUUCAUUUAGUUGGAACUACCGUUUCGUUGAGUCACGCUCCUUGAGAGUGGAGUGCAAAUAAGGUGGUAACCUCCAUCAAACACUAAAUACUACUAAGAGACCGAUAGCGAACAAGUACUGUGAAGGAAAGUUGAAAAGCACUUCGAAAGGAGAGUUAAAAGACCUGAAAUCGUUAUAAGGGAAGCACGCCCAAGGCUACCUGCUUGCAGGAGCGCAAGAAUAUGUUACUAUAUUCUGCGUCAGCCACUGGGCAUGACCCGUCUUGAAACACGGACCAAGGAGUUAGCAAAUUGUGCGAGU